ACUGCAUUUAUUAGGAAUACACUGUAAGGUUACAGGCAGUGUGGGUGUGGAUUUUGACUGUAUUUGAAGUUUUCUUACCUUGAAACUUACUUAGCACUUGUAAACCUAUACCAUAGAGUUUAGCCUUUAUUUCCUCUUGAGACUUGAAAAUCCUACACCAUCUAGUGUAGUGCUAAUCCUAAAGAAAACCAACGAUUAAGUGUUAAUUGUUGAUUGGUAUCACCCUAUGAUCAAUUGUUUUCACCCUAAGGCUCAAGUGAAACCAAACGGUUGGUCACUUUUUCGAUUUAGUAUUUUUUCAAUUUCUUAGAUCUCAGGAUAUUUUUAGUAGAUUUUGGAUGAGACAACAAGGAUCUCUGACGACCAUCAUUCUCAGAAAAUAUCUGGCAUCACCUCAAAUCUGGAUUUCGAACAUUACAGAGGGAUGAAUGAGGAGCAGUACCACUGGACUGAGGGCCUGGCCCACUUUGCCAUCUUGGUAUUCUUAAUCUUUGUCCUAGUUCCUGGCACGAUAAGAAUUUUCAAAUAAAUAAAUAAUUUUUGUAUUAAAAAAGUAGUAUUUAGAACCGAAUAUCUUCUAUAAUAUAGAAAAUUGAGUCAGCUUUCCCAGUAAUGAUUCUUUAAGUUGGCCUUCUGAAAUAUGAGAAAAUGUUACCCUGAUAGUCUCGAUGAUAUUUUGCACCAUGGGUAGGGUUGUAAUUUAAAGUUAAAUGACUACAUAUAUUGUUUUUUGUUUUUGUCGAGGGACCUGAGAUGGGGCUAAUUGAAAACGUCUGGAGCUUAAAGACCCGUGCAGUUUACGCAGCAAGGAUAUUAUUGCUCUGAAUUUCAAUAAAUCAACAUUUCACUAUAUAUCGGCAAAGUCUACAGCCUUUAAAAAAUGACCAAUAUAGACGGAAUCAAAACCGAUUUAGUCCCAAAGCGGCACAGAGCUGUAUCUGCCAAAGCGUCCAUUUAAAUUCGUGCGUUCCAAGGAAAAUUACUGCUUAGUUUCUAUCCAUUUGCAAAAGUUUAUGAUUUUUUCAGGCAUUCCUCACACCUGUUAGGUUAAAAUCAGUAACACUCUUAAAAAGAAAGCGAGAGACCGGAAAUGAUAUGAGAAUAGAAUUGGCCACUCCAGAGACAUCUGCAAAUGACACUCCAUUUUUUCUUCUCGCGCUGCAAAAUGUACCGGUAAACCGGACUUUCCGGGACUCGCUGGGUGGCCGACAUUUUCCCUAGCAGGAAUUUUACGUUUCCAAGAUCUCAAUGGAUGUUAACGGUCGGGCUAAAUGCCAGGCAGGUCUUCAUUGUCGAAUUAAACAGCGGUGGGAGCAAGCGGAAUAACCGAGUUCCCCUCCCGCACCUGAGUGCCGGCAGCGAGCCGCGAGCCGGGACCUGUCACCCGCGGGAAGCCCCGGCCGCCCGACGAACAGCAUCUCCGGUUUCCGCCUCCGGCUCCGGCGCGGCUCCCCCGGCCCGCCUCUGCGUCAGGGACGCGGAAACCCCGUAGGAGCAGGGCGGGCGGGGAAAGCGAGGUUUAACUAACUCCGCAGCGAUAUUCUUCCGCCGCGAGGUAAAGAGUCCAAACCCAACCCCGGGCCCUAGGAUUUCCAGCGACCUGUAAUAUCGAGAAAUUACCACAUUUGGAUUUUUCUACCAACUUGCUUAGGAUUUUAUCCGAGGUAACGACCCCAGGAUCACAAUUUUGUAGCUGACCGAAGCACGGCGAGAAAAUUCCUCCGCAAGAAACGGGUUCCGGCCACGAGCCUAUAAAAAACGGGUGGCUGGGCGCUGCUGUCUUUUCAGUCGGGCGCCGAGUGGUUUUUCGGAUCAUGUCUGGUGGCUCCGCGGAUUAUAACAGCAGAGAACAUGGCGGCCCAGAGGGAAUGGACCCCGAUGGUGUCAUCGAGAGCAACUGGAAUGAGAUUGUUGAUAACUUUGAUGAUAUGAAUUUAAAGGAGUCUCUCCUUCGUGGCAUCUAUGCUUACGGUUUUGAGAAGCCUUCCGCUAUUCAGCAGAGAGCUAUUAUUCCCUGUAUUAAAGGGUAUGAUGUGAUUGCUCAAGCUCAGUCAGGUACUGGCAAGACAGCCACAUUUGCUAUUUCCAUCCUGCAACAGUUGGAGAUUGAGUUCAAGGAGACCCAAGCACUAGUAUUGGCCCCCACCAGAGAACUGGCUCAACAGAUCCAAAAGGUAAUUCUGGCACUUGGAGACUAUAUGGGAGCCACUUGUCAUGCCUGCAUUGGUGGAACAAAUGUUCGAAAUGAAAUGCAAAAACUGCAGGCUGAAGCACCACAUAUUGUUGUUGGUACACCCGGGAGAGUGUUUGAUAUGUUAAACAGAAGAUACCUUUCUCCAAAAUGGAUCAAAAUGUUUGUUUUGGAUGAAGCAGAUGAAAUGUUGAGCCGUGGUUUUAAGGAUCAAAUCUAUGAGAUUUUCCAAAAACUAAACACAAGUAUUCAGGUUGUGUUGCUUUCUGCCACAAUGCCAACUGAUGUGUUGGAAGUGACCAAAAAAUUCAUGAGAGAUCCAAUUCGAAUUCUGGUGAAAAAGGAAGAAUUGACCCUUGAAGGAAUCAAACAGUUUUAUAUUAAUGUUGAGAGAGAGGAAUGGAAGUUGGAUACACUUUGUGACUUGUACGAGACACUGACCAUUACACAGGCUGUUAUUUUUCUCAAUACGAGGCGCAAGGUGGACUGGCUGACUGAGAAAAUGCAUGCCAGAGACUUCACAGUUUCUGCUCUGCAUGGUGACAUGGACCAGAAGGAGAGAGAUGUUAUCAUGAGGGAAUUCCGGUCAGGGUCAAGUCGUGUUCUGAUCACUACUGACUUGUUGGCUCGCGGGAUUGAUGUGCAACAAGUGUCUUUGGUUAUAAAUUAUGAUCUACCUACCAAUCGUGAAAACUAUAUUCACAGGAGUCGAUAGCAGCAGUUGAUGACGAGAUGGCACUCAGAAACGGCGUUGACGUAAUUUAGGACGUGGAAUCAUAAGCGAAACAGCACACUGUUUGAAUAAAGAGCGAGUCGAAUUGGCAGAGGGGGUCGAUUUGGGAGGAAAGGUGUGGCUAUAAACUUUGUUACUGAAGAAGACAAGAGGAUUCUUCGUGACAUUGAGACUUUCUACAAUACUACAGUGGAGGAGAUGCCCAUGAAUGUGGCUGACCUUAUUUAAUUCCUGGGAUGAGAGUUUUGGAUGCAGUGCUCGCUGUUGCUGAAUAGGCGAUCACAACGUGCAUUGUGCUUCUUUCUUUGGGAAUAUUUGAAUCUUGUCUCAAUGCUCAUAACGGAUCAGAAAUACAGAUUUUGAUAGCAAAGCGACGUUAGUCGUGAGCUCUUGUGAGGAAAGUCAUUGGCUUUAUCCUCUUUAGAGUUAGACUGUUGGGGUGGGUAUAAAAGAUGGGGUCUGUAAAAUCUUUCUUUCUUAGAAAUUUAUUUCCUAGUUCUGUAGAAAUGGUUGUAUUAGAUGUUCUCUAUCAUUUAAUAAUAUACUUGUGGACUAAAAGAUAUAAGUGCUGUAUAAAAUCAGCCAAUUAUGUUAAACUAGCAUAUCUGCCUUUAUUGUGUUUGUCAUUAGCCUGAGUAGAAAGGCCUCUAAAAUUUUUUUAGAAAGCAUUUGAAUGCAUUUUGUUUGGUAUUGUAUUUAUUCAAUAAAGUAUUUAAUUAGUGCUAAGUGUGAACUGGACCCUGUUGCUAAGCCCCAGCAAGCAAUCAUCCUAGGUAGGGUUUAAUCCCCAGUAAAAUUGCCAUAUUGCACAUGUCUUAAUGAAAUUUGAAUGUUAAAUAAAUUGUAUAUUCACUUUAAA